AUUGAACGCUGGCGGAAUGCUUUACACAUGCAAGUCGAACGGCAGCACGGACUUCGGUCUGGUGGCGAGUGGCGAACGGGUGAGUAAUAUAUCGGAACGUAUCCAAUAAUGGGGGAUAACUAAUCGAAAGGUUGGCUAAUACCGCAUACGUCCUACGGGAGAAAGCUAGGGACCUUCGGGCCUGGCGUUAAUGGAGCGGCCGAUAUCGGAUUAGCUAGGUGGUGAGGUAAAGGCUCACCAAGGCGACGAUCCGUAGCUGGUCUGAGAGGACGACCAGCCACACUGGAACUGAGACACGGUCCAGACUCCGACGGGAGGCAGCAGUGGGGAAUUUUGGACAAUGGGCGAAAGCCUGAUCCAGCCAUUCCGCGUGAGUGAAGAAGGCCUUCGGGUUGUAAAGCUCUUUCGCAAGAGAAGAAAACUUACCCUCUAACAUAGGGUGAGGUUGACGGUAUCUUGAUAAGAAGCACCGGCUAACUACAUGCCAGCCGCCGCAGUAA
rnacentral:rRNA from 1 species